UUGCUCAUAUAAUAUUUCACAAUUUGAGGAUAGAAUACUUUGAAAGAAUCAGCGAACGAUCCACCAAGAGCAACAGCUAAUGCUAUAACGACAUCACAAGCAGAAUCAAUGAGUAAUGCAUCUUGUUCAGUAUCAUCGACCUCUUCAUUGCUAACUAUAUCUUCCUCUUCAAAAUCAUCAUCAAAUACGUCACCCGCUUGAACAAUAUGUUGCUUUUGCAAAACUUCCAUGACGACUUCGCAGAGUUUUUCAUAAUCGUCUCCCAAGACUACUGGGCCACAUGUUUUAAUGGAUUCAGCAAAGUUGCGUAGAAUGUCAGUAGCAACAGUUUUCUCGUACUCCUCUUCUAAAGUAUCAAACGUGCAUUUUCUAACAGCU